rnacentral:rRNA from 1 species
AGAGUUCGAUCAUGGCUCAGGAUGAACGCUGGCGGCGUGCCUAACACAUUCAAGUCGAACGGUGAAGGGACUUCGGUCCCGGAUCAGUGGCGGACGGGUGAGUAACGCGUGAGCAACCUGCCUUUGCUUGGGGGAUAACGUUUGGAAACGAACGCUAAUACCGCAUAAAACAGCAUUCCGGCAUCGGGAAGCUGUCAAAGAUUUAUUGAGCAGAGAUGGGCUCGCGUCCGAUUAGAUAGUUGGUGAGGUAACGGCUCACCAAGUCGACGAUCGGUAGCCGGACUGAGAGGUUGAACGGCCACAUUGGAACUGAGAUACGGUCCAG